rnacentral:rRNA from 1 species
UACGUAGGGUGCGCGCGUUAAUCGGAAUUACUGGGCGUAAAGUGUGCGCAGGCGGCCGCGCAAGUCGAGUGUGAAAGCCCCGAGCUUAACUUGGGAAUUGCGCUCGAAACUACGUGGCUGGAGUGUGGCAGAGGAAGGUGGAAUUCCACGUGUAGCGGUGAAAUGCGUAGAGAUGUGGAGGAACACCGAUGGCGAAGGCAGCCUUCUGGGCCAACACUGACGCUCAUGCACGAAAGCGUGGGGAGCGAACGGG